GACGAACGCUGGCGGCGUGCUUAACACAUGCAAGUCGAACGGUAAGGCCCUUCGGGGUACACGAGUGGCGAACGGGUGAGUGACACGUGGGUGAUCUGCCCUGCACUUCGGGAUAAGCCUGGGAAACUGGGUCUAAUACCGGAUAGGACCACUGCCUGCAUGGGUGGUGGUGGAAAGCUUUUGCGGUGUGGGAUGGGCCCGCGGCCUAUCAGCUUGUUGGUGGGGUGAUGGCCUGCCAAGGCGACGACGGGUAGCCGGCCUGAGAGGGUGACCGGCCACACUGGGACUGAGAUACGGCCCAGACUCCUACGGGGGGCAGCAGUGGGGAAUAUUGCACAAUGGGCGCAAGCCUGAUGCAGCGACGCCGCGUGAGGGAUGACGGCCUUCGGGUUGUAAACCUCUUUUAGUAGGGAAGAAGCGAAAGUGACGGUACCUGCAGAAAAAGCACCGGCUAACUACGUGCCGGCCGCCGCCGUAA
rnacentral:rRNA from 1 species